GCAGUGGUGCUUCAGUGGUAGAAUUCUUACUUUCCACGUGGGAGACCAGAGUUCAAUUCCCGGCCAGUGCA
rfam:Loxodonta africana unplaced genomic scaffold scaffold_6, whole genome shotgun sequence.